GUGCAUUGUGGCCAGUUUUAAACGACCAAACACUGAUGCUCAACAUUAUUUCACUUUGUGGCCAUUGUGAAGUAACCACAAAUGCAUUAUGGGAAACUCCACCAAAACCAAUACAUGUUCUGCACAUUUUGAAACAACCACAGACCAUUCUGAAACAGAUCAGGGCAUGUGUUAGUAGUAGUAUGUGGUAUGUUUGUAGUAUGUUACGGAAAGCAUCAGGAGCCUCCUUUGGGUUUCAAUAAGUCAUGUUUCAUCAUGUGCUCCUGCACACAUUAUUCUAACACUAAUAAGUGUAAGUGUCAAAAAGUUUUGUGCAAUUCAAAAUGUCAUAGUAACAGUGCCUGUAAGAAUAAUUGUAUCUGUAGAAC
rnacentral:lncRNA from 1 species